CGAACCUUCGGGUUAGUGGCGGACGGGUGAGUAACGCGUGAGAAUCUGCCCUCAGGAGGGGGAUAACAGUUGGAAACGACUGCUAAUACCCCUUAUGCUGAAAGGUAAAACGAAUUUCGCCUGGGGAUGAGCUCGCGUCUGAUUAGCUUGUUGGUGGGGUAACGGCCUACCAAGGCUUCGAUCAGUAGCUGGUCUGAGAGGACGAUCAGCCACACUGGGACUGAGACACGGCCCAGACUCCUACGGGAGGCAGCAGGGGGGAAUUUUCCGCAGUGGGCGCAAGCCUGACGGAGCAACGCCGCGUGAGGGAUGAAGGCCUUUGGGCUGUAAACCUCUUUUCUCAAGGAAGAAGAUCUGACGGUACUUGAGGAAUAAGCCACGGCUAAUUCCGUGCCAGCAGCCGCGGUAAUACGGGAGUGGCAAGCGUUAUCCGGAAUUAUUGGGCGUAAAGCGUCCGCAGGCGGCCGUUUAAGUCUGUUGUUAAAUCGUAGAGCUCAACUCUAUCACGGCAAUGGAAACUGUUCGGCUUGAGUAUGGUAGGGGCAGAGGGAAUUUCCGGUGUAGCGGUGAAAUGCGUAGAUAUCGGGAAGGACACCAGUGGCAAAAGCGCUCUGCUGGGCCAUUACUGACGCUCAUGGACGAAAGCCAGGGGAGCGAAAGGGAUUAGAUACCCCUGUAGUCCUGGCCGUAAACGAUGAACACUAGAUGUUGGGGGAAUCGACCCCUUCGGUGUCGUAGCUAACGCGUUAAGUGUUCCGCCUGGGGAGUACGCACGCAAGUGUGAAACUCAAAGGAAUUGACGGGGGCCCGCACAAGCGGUGGAGUAUGUGGUUU
rnacentral:rRNA from 1 species